rnacentral:snRNA from 3 species
AUCUUUGCGCUUGGAGCAAUGACACAGCUAGUGAGGUUUCAUGAGACGCAUUAAUUGCUGGUUGAAAACUAUUCCAAACCCCCUCUCUGGCUCUCACGGGUCAUUGAGAAUUUCUGGAAGGGUUCCAAACA